AGAACGAACGCUGGCGGCAUGCCUAACACAUGCAAGUCGAACGCUCACCGGGCUUCGGUUCGGUGGGAGUGGCGCACGGGUGAGUAGCGCGUGGGAACCUGCCCUGUUGUGGGGGAUAACCGAGGGAAACUUCGGCUAAUACCGCAUGCGCCCGGGGAAACCCGGGGAAAGAUUUAUCGCUCUAGGAGGGGCCCGCGUCGGAUUAGGUAGUUGGUGGGGUAACGGCCUACCAAGCCUGUGAUCCGUAGCUGGUCUGAGAGGAUGAUCAGCCACACUGGGACUGAGACACGGCCCAGACUCCUACGGGAGGCAGCAGUGGGGAAUAUUGGACAAUGGGCGCAAGCCUGAUCCAGCAAUGCCGCGUGAGUGAUGAAGGCCUUCGGGUUGUAAAGCUCUUUCGCACGCGAGGAUGAUGAUGCUAGCGUGAGAGACGCCCGGCUAACUCGUGCCAGCAGCCGC
rnacentral:rRNA from 1 species